rnacentral:rRNA from 1 species
UACGUAGGGGGCAAGCGUUGUCCGGAAUUAUUGGGCGUAAAGAGCGCGUAGGCGGUCCGGUAAGUCGGUUGUGAAAGUCGGGGGCUCAACCCUCGGAUGCCGAUCGAUACUGCCGGGCUAGAGUCCGGAAGAGGCGAGUGGAAUUCCUGGUGUAGCGGUGAAAUGCGCAGAUAUCAGGAGGAACACCAAUGGCGAAGGCAGCUCGCUGGGACGGUACUGACGCUGAGGCGCGAAAGCCAGGGGAGCAAACGGG